GUGAGGGUGUGAGGGUCGCGCUCCUGCUGUCUGGACUUUUUCUGUCCUACUGAGACGCGGCCGACAUGAGAUGAUGAACCUCGAGUACCACCCCAAACAACAAGGCUGCUUCAUCAGGACACAAACCUACCUGUACCAGGAUCUCUGAUCUGUGUGCAGCAGAGACACUGAGGAUACCAUUGGCAUCAAUGUCAAAAAUGACUUCAAUCUCAGGAACACCUCGGGGUUCAGGAGGUACGCCUGUGAAUUCAAACUUGCCAAGCAGGUUGUUAUCCUUGGACAUGGCACGCUCACCUUCAUAAACCUGAAUUAGCACACCAGGCUGGUUGUCAGAAUAGGUAGUGAAGGUCUGUGUCUGCUUGGUAGGAAUGGUGGUAUUACGGUUGAUGAGGAUGGUCAUGACUCCACUAGCAGUUUCAAUACCAAGGGAAAGAGGAGUGACAUCCAAGAGCAGCAAAUCUUGAACAUUUUCAGACUUGUCUCCAGACAGGAUGGCUGCCUGGACAGCCAUAAGCAACAGCUUCAUCAGGGCUGAUGCUCUUAUUCAGUUCUUUUCCAUUGAAGAAGUCUUGGAGAAGCUUCUGAAUCUUGGGGAUACUAAUAGAACCACCAACCAGGACAAUAUCAUGAAUUUGUGACUUGUCUGGUUUGGCAUCUUGAAGGGCUUUCUCUACUGGGUCCAGGGUGUCACAGAACAGGUCAGCAUUCAGUUCUUCAAAUUGGGCACAGGUAAUGGAGGUAUAGAAGUCGAUUCCUUCAUAGAGAGAAUCGAUCUCAAUACUGGCCUGGGUGCUGGAAGAGAGAGUACGCUUAGCACGUUCACAAGCAGUAUGGAGGCAUCUUACAGCUCUCUUGCUCUCACUGAUGUCCUUCUUAUGCUUGCGCUUGAACUCAGCAAUAAAAUGGUUGACCAUUCAGUUGUCAAAAUCUUCUCCACCCAAGUGGGUGUCUCCGGCUGUAGACUUGACCUCAGAGAUUCCAUCCUCAAUAGUGAGGAUUGACACAUCGAAAGUGCAACCUCCCAGGUCAAAGAUAAGCACGUUUCUUUCCGCUCCAACCUUUUUGUCUGAGCUUUUGUAAGCAAUAGCAGCAACAGUUGACUCAUUAAUAAUUCUAAGUACAUUGAGACCAGCAAUAGUUCCAGCAUCUUUGAUAGCCUGAGGCUGAGAGUCACUAAAGUAAGCUGGCACUGUGACCACAGCAUUGGUAACAGUCUUCCCAAGGUAGGCUUCUGCAAUUUCCUUCAUCUUUGUCAGAACAAUAGAGGAUAUCUCCUCUGGAUAGAAGCUUUUGGUCUCUCCCUUGUAUUCUACUUGGACCUUGGGUCUGCCAGCAUCAUUCACCACUAUGAAGAGCCAAUGCUUCAUAUCAGACUGGACAACAGCAUCAUCAAAUCUGCAUCCAAUCAGACGUUUGGCAUCAAAAACUGUGUUAGUGGGGUUCAUUGCAACUUGAUUCUUUGCAGCAUCACCGAUCAACUGUUUAGUGUCUGUAAAGGCGACAUAGCUUGGAGUGGUUCGGUUUCCCUGAUCAUUGGCAAUUAUCUCUACUUUUCCAUGCUGGAAAACACCCACAUAAGAGUAGGUGGUGUCAAGAUCAAUACCAACUGCAGGUCCCUUGGACAUGGUUGCUGGCGUGUAGCCCCGGCUCCGAUAGAGAAGAAAGCCACAGGAACCCAAGAGCUGCAGGCGAAUUCAAUGAGCUAGGAUUUCUUAAUAUAUAUGUGAUAAUGUUUUCACUUUGAUAAUUGACUUUUAUAAUGACUUGAGUAGUCUUAAAUUGUCUUUCAUUUAAAACUUUUGUUCUUUUAAAAAAGCACCAAGUCUAUGCUACUAACAAAAAUUUCCUUUUACCAUGUAGACUACUUGGGAUGAAAAUAACUUUUCAUAAUUACUAUCAUGAAGGCAGGAGAGUGGAAAGUUGCCAGAUACUGCAGCAAGGUAUAAAGAUGAAUUCUUCAAAUGAGGAAGCAAACUUUAUCAAGUGGUUGAAUUUCUUAGAUCACCCUGUUGGACAUAAUUUCUUAUAAACAAAUUGUGCAAUCAGUGUCAUGUUCAUGCAAAGAGUCUUUUAACUUAAAAUUCAUUACAGAUAACACUUUCAAAAAGAAGUUCUGUAGUCUUGCAUACUAUUUACCACACCGUAUUUACUGCACUUAGCUUCAUUAUGGAGGAAAGAACAAUAGUAAACCAUCAAUAACUGAGACAAUGAUCAUAUUCAUUGGUGAUGAGUCAAACAGGUUAUACUUAUUUUUUAAAAUAAAAACAUUUGUAAUUUUUUCCCUAUGUUUUUAAAACAGUUUAACAAUAGCAAUUCUGUUAUUUUAGCUUUAAUUUUUUGUACCAACAGUUAAUUUGCUCAUGCCCAAAGAUUUAUAUUUAUAAAAAAUGUUCUGCCAUGCAAAUUUUAAGAGAUUUUUGAAUUGUUGACAAUACUCAGCACAGUCACGUCUCUCAUAAAUCCACCCAAACUUAGGAACCAAUUUUCAGCGCAACUCAUGAAGACAAAGAAUAGCCAUUGUAAACACAUUGUUGAAAAUCAUUUAAAAAAUCAUUUAAUUUUUUUGCAUUUAAUAUUUUUUCAGCUUUCUUAAGAUAUAAUUAACAAAAAUUGUAUAUAUUCAAGUUGUGUUAUGUGAGGUUUUGAUACAUGUAUACAUACUAAAAUAAUUACCACAAUUAAGCUAAUUAUACUAUACAUAGUAAAAUAAUUACCACAAUCAAGCUAAUUCAUGUAUUUAUUAUCACACAUAAUUCUUUUUCUUGGUGUGAUGAGAAUACUUAAGAUCUACUCUCUUAGAAAAUUUCAGGUGUAUAAUACAUUAUUAUUAACCAUAGUUGCCAUGCUAUACAUUAGGGCUCCAGAACUUAUUCAUUUCAUAACUUCAAGUUAUAAAAGUCACUAUAAAAGUUUGUACCUUUUGCAAGUUUGUACCUUUUGAUGAACAUAUUCCCAUUUUCCUCAGUCCCCUGCACCUGGAAACCACCCUUCUAAACUGUUGAUAUGAGUUCACCUUUUUUUAGAUUCCACAUGUAAGUGAGAUCAUGCAGUGCUUGUGUUUCUGUGUCUGGCUUAUUUCACUUAGCAUAAAGUCUUCCAAGUUCA
rnacentral:lncRNA from 1 species